AGAGUUUGAUCCUGGCUCAGGACGAACGCUGGCGGCGUGCCUAAUACAUGCAAGUAGAACGCUGAAGGAGGAGCUUGCUUCUCUGGAUGAGUUGCGAACGGGUGAGUAACGCGUAGGUAACCUGCCUGGUAGCGGGGGAUAACUAUUGGAAACGAUAGCUAAUACCGCAUAAUAGUAGAUGUUGCAUGACAUUUGCUUAAAAGGUGCAAUUGCAUCACUACCAGAUGGACCUGCGUUGUAUUAGCUAGUUGGUGGGGUGACGGCUCACCAAGGCGACGAUACAUAGCCGACCUGAGAGGGUGAUCGGCCACACUGGGACUGAGACACGGCCCAGACUCCUACGGGAGGCAGCAGUAGGGAAUCUUCGGCAAUGGACGGAAGUCUGACCGAGCAACGCCGCGUGAGUGAAGAAGGUUUUCGGAUCGUAAAGCUCUGUUGUAAGAGAAGAACGAGUGUGAGAGUGGAAAGUUCACACUGUGACGGUAUCUUACCAGAAAGGGACGGCUAACUACGUGCCAGCAGCCGCGGUAAUACGUAGGUCCCGAGCGUUGUCCGGAUUUAUUGGGCGUAAAGCGAGCGCAGGCGGUUAGAUAAGUCUGAAGUUAAAGGCUGUGGCUUAACCAUAGUACGCUUUGGAAACUGUUUAACUUGAGUGCAAGAGGGGAGAGUGGAAUUCCAUGUGUAGCGGUGAAAUGCGUAGAUAUAUGGAGGAACACCGGUGGCGAAAGCGGCUCUCUGGCUUGUAACUGACGCUGAGGCUCGAAAGCGUGGGGAGCAAACAGGAUUACAUACCCUGGUAGUC
rnacentral:rRNA from 1 species